rnacentral:rRNA from 1 species
GAUGAACGCUGGCGGCGUGCCUAACACAUGCAAGUCGAGCGAACAGACGAGGAGGUUGCUCCUCGGUCGUUGGCGGCGGGCGGGUGAGUAACGCGUGGAUAACCUUUCUUAAAGACUGGGAUAACUACGCUAAACCGGAUCUAAUAUCGGAUAAUAUAUGGAACCGUAUGGUUCAAUAGUAUUAGCCGGCUUUGCUGUAAGUAAUUGAUGGAGUCGUGCCUCAUUAGCUAGUUGGUAAGGUAACGGCUUACCAAGGCAACGAUGCGAAGCCGACCUGAGAGGGUGAUCGACCACACGGGAACUGAGGAACAGUCCAGACUCCGACAGGAGGCAGCGGUCGAGAAUCUUCCGCGAUGGGGGAGAGCCUGACGGAGCAACGCCGCGUGAAUGAUGAAGGUCUUCGGAUCGUAAAGCGCUGUUAUUAGGGAAGAACAAAUGUGUAAGUAACUAUGAACGUCUUGACGGUACCUAAACAGAAAGCCACGGCUAACUACGUG